GUGUCAGCAGCCGCGGUAAUACGUAGGGGGCGAGCGUUGUCCGGAUUUACUGGGCGUAAAGCGCGCGUAGGUGGAAGGUCAAGCGGGGCCUCAAAGCCCCCGGCUCAACCGGGGAAGCUGGCCGCGAACUGGCCUUCUUGAGGGCGAGAGAGGCGGGUGGAAUUCCUGGUGUAGCGGUGAAAUGCGUAGAGAUCAGGAGGAACACCAGUGGCGAAGGCGGCCCGCUGGCUCGCCCCUGACGCUGAGGCGCGAAAGCGUGGGGAGCGAACGGGAUUAGAUACCCCGGUAGUCC
rnacentral:rRNA from 1 species